rnacentral:lncRNA from 1 species
AUCAUAGGCGGUUCCCAAACUGAAAAUAAAGUUUAUUCCUUUUUCCACCAUUCUUUCACACUCCACGGCUAGCUGCAUCCACGGGUACCGCCCAUACCAACACUUUCCAAGGAACUUAUUAUUUGACAACAUAAAAUAUAUUUUUUGCAUUUCAGGACUGCACAUCCCUAUUACCGCCAUACUCUCGUGCAAUGACAAGUGAAUAAACACUCAUCUUGAGAAUAACCUAUUUAACAUGGAAGAUAUCGGCCAUCCUAGGGGAGUCCUGGAUUAAGGGGUGCUCGGAUGGUCGGCCCACCUCUUAGAGGUCGACCAUAUUGUCCAUAUUAUUGGAGACAGGACUGCAUAACGACUUUGUUUUCAGGAAGGAAAGUUCCAAAGACUGGCAUAUCAUCCAAGUUUGGUAGGCUAGAUCGGCACAUCUAUCCUCGGCUGGAGGUCGGUUGUAUGUAACCCUAGGAAGCCCUCGUGUCUAUAUAAACCAGAGGGCUUCGUCCGCAUAGCCAAGUUGAUUCAUCUAGGGUUUAACUCAUAUGAUCUCAAGGUAGACCAACUGUGUAAUCGUCAUACACCAUCAA